rnacentral:rRNA from 1 species
AACCAGGGGAUUAAGUUGUAUUUUCCGGUAAAAAGACAGUUAGGCAAAAUAACGGGUCUAAAUCACUGCUCUAUCGGGAGGUAGAAUUCGAAGAUAGGCAAAUAUACUUAACAAGACCAACGUGCUGAAGCUGUGAUAGCUUUGAGGGAAACUAGGAUUAGAUACCCUAUUAUUCAUAGAAGUAAAUCAAAAAUUUUUACCAGAGUACUAAGAAUAAAAAAUUUAAAACUCAAAGGGCUUGGCGGUGUUUUAGACUACUUAGGGGAACCUGUCUCAUAAUCGACAAUCCACGCUAGACCUAACCUAUUUUUGCACUCAGUUUGUAUACCGUCGUCGUCAGGUAACUUUUAAGAUAUAAAUAGUUAGCUAAUUAAAUAUUUUAAUUAAGACGUCAGAUCAUGGUGCAGCUAAUAAUAAGGUGUAGAUGGGUUACAAUUAUUAUACUUAUAAUAACGGAUAACAGCUUUAAAAGCAGCUAAGAAGGAGGACUUAAAAGUAAAACAAAUUAUAUAAAUGUCUUGAAUAAAGCUCUGAAACGUGC